rnacentral:rRNA from 1 species
AACGAACGCUGGCGGCAGGCCUAACACAUGCAAGUCGAGCGAGGACUUCGGUCCUAGCGGCGGACGGGUGAGUAACGCGUGGGAACGUGCCCUUUGCUUCGGAAUAGCCCUGGGAAACUGGGAGUAAUACCGGAUGAGCCCUUUGGGGGAAAGAUUUAUCGGCGAAGGAUCGGCCCGCGUUGGAUUAGGUAGUUGGUGGGGUAAUGGCCUACCAAGCCGACGAUCCAUAGCUGGUUUGAGAGGAUGAUCAGCCACACUGGGACUGAGACACGGCCCAGACUCCUACGGGAGACAGCAGUGGGGAAUCUUAGACAAUGGGGGAAACCCUGAUCUAGCCAUGCCGCGUGAGCGAUGAAGGCCUUAGGGUUGUAAAGCUCUUUCAGCUGGGAAGAUAAUGACGGUACCAGCAGAAGAAGCCCCGGCUAACUCCGUG